rnacentral:rRNA from 1 species
GAUGAACGCUGGCGGCGUGCCUAAUACAUGCAAGUCGAGCGAAGCGGGGACGGGUGAGUAACACGUGGAUAACCUCCUAUAAGACUGGGAUAACUUCGGGAAACCGGAGCUAAACCGGAUACUUACAGAUGGAUCCGGGCUGCAUUAGCUAGUUGGUAAGGUAAAGGCUUACCAAGGAUACGAUGCAUAGCCGACCUGAGAGGGUGAUCGGCCACACUGGAACUGAGACACGGUCCAGACUCCUACGGGAGGCAGCAGUAGGGAAUCUUCCACAAUGGGCGAAAGCCUGACGGAGCAACGCCGCGUGAGUGAAGAAGGUCUUCGGAUCGUAAAACACUGUUAUUAGGGAAGCGGUACCAAAACAGAAAGCCCCGGCUAACUACGUGCCAGCAGCCGCGGUAAUUC